AUUGAACGCUGGCGGCAUGCUUUACACAUGCAAGUCGAACGGCAGCACGGGAGCUUGCUCCUGGUGGCGAGUGGCGAACGGGUGAGUAAUGCAUCGGAACGUACCCAGUAGUGGGGGAUAGCCCGGCGAAAGCCGGAUUAAUAUCGCAUAUUUCCUGAGGGAGAAAGCGGGGGACCUUCGGGCCUCGCGCUACUGGAGCGGCUGAUGUCGGAUUAGCUAGUUGGUGAGGUAAAGGCUCACCAAGGCGACGAUCCGUAGCUGGUCUGAGAGGAUGAUCAGCCACACUGGGACUGAGACACGGCCCAGACUCCUACGGGAGGCAGCAGCGGGGAAUAUUGGACAAUGGGCGAAAGCCUGAUCCAGCAAUGCCGCGUGAGUGAUGAAGGCCUUAGGGUUGUAAAGCUCUUUUACCCGGGAUGAUAAUGACAGUACCGGGAGAAUAAGCUCCGGCUAACUCCGUGCCAGCAGCCGCGGUAAAGUG
rnacentral:rRNA from 1 species